ACGGCGCACCCCAAACUCGGUAAACAACGAAAAUUUUCGUUACGAAAAAUAAAAGUCGAUUUUCAUUGGCUAAUAAAUUAAAUUAGACUUAAGCACGUUUUCAACUUAUCUAGUUCGCUUCAGUACACGAUAACUUCGAGCAAGACCACUUCUACGGCAGAAUCUAUUGAAAGCACUAAAGAAAAAAGCUAAUAAAUUGUAUUGUAUAAUGGUAUAAUUGUAUAAUGGUAUUAUAUCAUAAGGGCUUUAUAAAAGAAAGAUAAACACAUUUGGCGAUGCAGCAGCUGUAAGAAGACAAAGACACGAAGUGGUUUUUUUGAAUGUUCAACAUCUUUAAGUGUAAGUGAUAUACUUAAACUUAUGUUGUUAUGGGUUUCAGAGGUCACUGUUACUGCUGCUGCUGCUGAAUUAGUAGGGAUAAGCCAAUCAACCAGUUCAAUGGUAUCAGAGACAUCUGCUCAUUCAAAGUUUUAGAUGUUGCACCUGUAAACCAGCUGGGAGGUCCAGGACACAUAGUUCAAAUUAAUGAAUCUUUAUUUUUCAAACGCAAGUAUAAUGUGGGUCACAACGUUAAAAAGUAUUGGAUUUUCAGGGCUUAUGAUAAAACAAAUAAAAAAGGGUUUUUGAUUAGGGUAGAGGAUUGCAUAAAAAUACAUUAGUAUUUUUAUGCAAUCCUCUAAAUACAUUAGUACCUUUGAUUCAAACUUAAAUUGCUCCUGGUUCAACUAUACAAUCAGAUACUAUCAGAUAAAUGGGCUUCGUACAAUAAUUUAAGCAACUUAGGCUAUAUUCAUUCAACUGUUAACCAUACCACAAACUUUGUUGACCCUGAAACAGGGACAACAAUAAACCACAUUGAGUCCUUUUGGUAUAGGAUGAAGUUUAAAUUAAAGUUUUUUUUGGUUGAUGACAAGAAGAUACACAUACUUAUGAUGAGAAGAAUAUACAUAGAGGAAAAGCUUAAAACAAUGAGAUUAAGAAAAAAAGACAUUUAAAGAUUGAAAAAGAUAGGGAAGAUUUUGAAUUAAAAAAAGUUAA